UACGGAGGAUGCGAGCGUUAUCCGGAUUUAUUGGGUUUAAAGGGUGCGUAGGCGGGCUGAUAAGUCAGCGGUGAAAUGUACCGGCUUAACCGGUGAACUGCCAUUGAUACUGUCGGUCUUGAGUGCAGAUGAGGUAGGCGGAAUGUGUGGUGUAGCGGUGAAAUGCAUAGAUAUCACACAGAACACCGAUUGCGAAGGCAGCUUACUAAGGUGCCACUGACGCUGAGGCACGAAAGUGUGGGGAUCAAAC
rnacentral:rRNA from 1 species